GCCAGUGUGGUGUAGUGGUUUGAGCCUUGGACUAUGACUCUAAAGACCAGGGUUCAAAUCACUACUCAGUCA